rnacentral:ncRNA from 1 species
CAAAGGCUUGGUCCUGGCUUUACUAUCAGCUCUAGCUAAACUUACACAUGCAAGUAUCCGCGCCCCCGUGAGGAUGCCCUAUAGAUUCCCUACUAGGAAGCUGGGAGCAGGUAUCAGGCACAGAUUCUUCUAGCCCACAACACCUUGUUCAGCCACACCCCCAAGGGUACUCAGCAGUGAUAGACAUUAAGCUAUAAGUGAAAACUUGACUUAGUUAAAGCUAAGAGGGCCGGUAAAACUCGUGCCAGCCACCGCGGUUAUACGAGUUGGCUCAAGUUGAUAGACGCGGCGUAAAGCGUGGUUAGGGGAAUAACAACUAAAGUCGAAUUGCCUCCUAGCAGUUAUACGCUCACGAGGGCUUAGAAGCACAACCACGAAAGUAGCUUUAACAAACCUGACUCCACGAAAGCUAAGGCACAAACUGGGAUUAGAUACCCCACUAUGCUUAGCCCUAAACAUUGACAACUUUACACACCCGUUGUCCGCCUGGGAACUACGAGCAGCAGCUUGAAAUCCAAAGGACUUGGCGGUGCUUUAGAUCCACCUAGAGGAGCCUGUCCUAGAACCGAUAAUCCCCGUUUAACCUCACCCCCUCUUGCUCUGAUCCGCCUAUAUACCGCCGUCGCAAGCUUACCCUUUGAGGGACUAAUAGUAAGCACAAUCGGCAUUGCCCAAUACGUCAGGUCGAGGUGUAGCGAAUGAGGGGGGAAGAGAUGGGCUACAUUCCCUGACUCAGGGAAUUACGAAUGGUCAUGCUGAAAUGCAUACACUGAAGGAGGAUUUAGUAGUAAGCUGAAAGCAGAGUGUUCAGCUGAAAUCGGCUCUGAAGCGCGCACACACCGCCCGUCACUCUCUCCGAUAAUUGGAAAUGAAACCUUAACUAAAAAGAGAACAGCUAAAGAGGGGAGGAAAGUCGUAACAUGGUAAGUGUACCGGAAGGUGUACUUGGAUGAAUCAGA